GCGAAAGUGGCGAAAUUGGCAGACGCGCCAGACUUAGGAUCUGGUGGAGUAAUCCGUAGGGGUUCAAGUCCCCUCUUUCGCA
rnacentral:tRNA from 1 species